UGAUUUUCUUAAGUGGGUUUCUCAGCUUCCCCUUUGCAUGUAGGGAUUUGUACUAAGAUAAUAAUUAUAAUAAGAACUUAACUUAUUACUUUGUUUACAAGGAUUCUUGGCCUCAGCUGUUUGAACACUCUCUAAGAAUGUGAAUGGGUAUUCUUAAAAUUCCAUGGAAGAUAUAGCUUGAAAAGGGAUGUGUUUUCCUGGAAAUGAACAGGGAAGCUCACCUCUCCCUGUGUGCAGCCUCGGUGGGACUGAAGGAGCUUGAUGUUCAUGUUUAUGUAUAAGCUGAAACCACCAAAAACCAUUACCUCUACAACUGACAACAAGACAAUAAUUCCCAAACUGGCAUUCUUCACCUGUGUUUGUAUAUAAUUUCCAUCAUUCUGAAAUGGCUGGCCCAGAGGAUUUGCUGGAAAUAACUUUUCCAUCACCAUGCACCAAAGGUUUUUUCACUUUGUAUUGAAUGGGAGGGGGGAAUUGAGAUGGACACCCUUUCUGUUUAUUCUUUUCUACAACCUUGAGCAAAGGAGACUCUUAACGCUUUUGUCAGCAAAAGAGAAGAAAUAUUGCCAAGAAAAGGUACUUGGUUCCAGUGAAAGCCUCCUUGUUGAAUUAAUUAAGCAGAUGCCAAGUGGUUUUCCAGGUUAAGCCAGAGGAGUCCAUGCAAAUGCAAACAAGUCAUUGAGCCAGAAAAUGAAGAAAGGGGUGGAAAAUCACAGUAGAAUCAAUAAGCUACAGGGUCUGCUUCUGAGCAGUUGGUGGGAAAAUCACAGUAGAAUCAAUAAGCUACAGGGUCUGCUUCUGAGCAGUUGGUGGGGCAGGAAUCUGUGGGGCUUGAUUGCUUGCAGAUUCCUGCGUUCCUCCAGGCUAUUUUUGGUCUUUGUUCUGAGUGUGAAACAGCAAGCAAGAGGUGUGUAUUUGGGAGUGGGUGAUGCUGGCGCAAAUGUUCUGAUAUGGAGAAGGUGUUGAGUCUAAAAGACUAUUUCUCAGUAUAAACAUUUCACCCUUUACUCAUCUCCCCCUCCCUCCCAAAUACCAAGAGACUUUGUCAGUAGCAGUAAUAGCUACUGCAGCAGUUCCUUUAGAUGGAGUGCAGUGAAAAGUUCCACAUAAUUUCCAUGAGCCAAGGACAUCUUUAGAAGAAGAAGGCUGUCAGAACUUGGCAUCCUUAAAUUCUUGAGUAAUUAUGAGGAUGCCUGGUUGGACUGUUAACAGAGAACAGUGCCAGAAGCCUUUCAAGGGGGAGGAUGAAACAGUAUAGAACAGCCUGAGGCAGGCGGCAAAAACAAAACAAUGUUAGAUGACCCUAGAAGACAUCUAGACAUAGCCAUAUUUCCAGUUUAUCCCAACUGUGAACUUCAGCCUGAGGGCAAGUAUGCAUGAAAUCAUCCUCAAUCCAGCCCUAUCUAGAAGCUUGAACUUGCCAAGCAGAAGCUACCACUCCUAUUCACAUGGAAGGAAGCGGAUUUACCAAACAAAGCAUCCUCUCCCUCCUAUCUUAUAGUAAAUGUGCCUGCCUCCUGCAGAUCAGGAAUGCUUAUGGCCUGCAG